AUUGAACGCUGGCGGCAUGCCUUACACAUGCAAGUCGAACGGCAGCACGGGGCAACCUGGUGGCGAGUGGCGAACGGGUGAGUAAUGCAUCGGAACGUACCUUUCAGUGGGGGAUAACGUAGCGAAAGUUACGCUAAUACCGCAUAUUCUGUGAGCAGGAAAGCAGGGGAUCGCAAGACCUUGCGCUGAUUGAGCGGCCGAUGUCAGAUUAGCUAGUUGGUGAGGUAAAGGCUCACCAAGGCGACGAUCUGUAGCGGGUCUGAGAGGAUGAUACGCGACACUGGAACUGAGAAACGGUCCAGACUCCGACGGGAGGCAGCAGUGGGGAAUUUUGGACAAUGGGGGCAACCCUGACCCAGCCAUGCCGCGUGAGUGAAGAAGGCCUUCGGGUUGUAAAGCUCUUUCGGCCGGGAAGAAAUCGCACGGGCUAAUACCCUGUGUGGAUGACGGUACCGGAAUAAGAAGCACCGGCUAACUACGUGCCAGCAGCCGCCGUAAAAC
rnacentral:rRNA from 1 species